AGAGGGCUGGCUGGGCUAUAAUGUAUAACUAAUUCAAUCUCCUGCUCACCAAACCAACCACCUAUAGCUUUCUCCUCUUAUUCACUCAGUCUCUCUGGCUGUUGGUCGGUCUAUAGAUAGAAUUUUGAGAAAGUAAUCCCAUCACAUCCCGCGGUGGCCGACGACGACGGCGACUUCCUCGCUCUCUCCUCUCCAGCAGGGAAAGCAGUAUUCCGGGUGAAAAUCAGGUGCACGUUUGCUCGCUCUUGGUUGAACCUAAAUUUGUGGUUUAUUUCAAUUUGUAUUUCAAUUUAUCCAAACUUGCACCAUUAAGUUUGGAGUGGAUUUUGAGAGGUGGACAGAGUGAGUGAUUUAUCUCUUCAAGUGGCUUAUCAAUCUUAUUCGUUUGUGCAAAGACAGGGAGGAUCGAUCCUCUACUUUCUCCUGUAUUUCGCCUGUGUCAAAUCAAAACUUUCGAGCAGGAUGUGAUUUGUUUCACAGGGUUUGAACAACAAUACAGCUCGGAGUGAGUGCGUAGGUACGUCCAUACGCAGCCAGGAAGUUGGUGGAUGGAUAGCAGACAGGAUAACCGAUCUCACAUCACGAUUACAAGAAAUCCCAUCUCCAUCUGGUAUCAUCAAGUAUGUUGGCUCGCAGUCCUGAAAGAGAAAGUCAACUUUCCUCAGAAAACCGUUUUGGCCUGGAUUCUUGAACUGGGGCCAAAUUAAGACGAGGGAGAAAGCCAGCCAGGAUGAAUAAUGACCCGAGACGUCGCUUAUCCAGACCAGAACUGUCGGGGAUCUCUGCCAUAUUCAACCCCCGCAAACUCAGAAGAAAUUCUACGGCCGUGAGUCAACUCCUCAGUGGCACGAGUAGGCACCCCUCAGUCGUCGUCACGGAUGACAACGCAGCAGACGUUGACUUUUUCUUCUCUUCCAUGAGUGGACUUGGCCUACACGCUGGUUCUUCAUUUGCAGGUAUGGCCAACGGAGGACAAAGUGUAGCUAGUUUAACUGGUGGUGGUAGUGCUGGUGGUGGUGGUGGGUGUGGAUCUCCUUCUGUUCCCCUUCUUUCAGAUCAUCCCCAUGGGAGCGGCGGGGGGAACAACAUUGUCACCAUCGAGAGCUCCCUCUCAACCCCACAACUCCACCACUCACAACAGCAGCAACGAGGGGGGGACGCACCGCCCAACAACGCCAACAUCAAACCCAUUGCGAGGACCAUCGCCACCAUCAAGAGAGCUUUGUUUAGCAAAACUGCGAGAAAGUUAUGCUGUGGACUUUUCUUAAGUGUACUUGUGGGCUGCUGUUGGACGAUCCUGUUCCACUCAAUAAAACGGGCUUACAUCACAAUGCACUUAUUUCCGGAUGAGAUGGCCUCGGACGUGGAGGACCACGUGGUGGAGACAUCAACGUCGCCACUCGACGCUGCAUAUGACCCUUCCAAAUUUUUCCAUGCCCUUGACCCGAACAAUAACUUGAGAGGAUCCAACGGUGAUACUGUGAACAACAAUGUGAACUCAAGUCUGAAGGAAGUGAGCAGUUCCUCGGUGCCAAAAACGUUAAAGUUGGUGAAAGUGUACGAAGCCCCCUUUUUCACGUCAUGGCUUCUAAGUAUUUGUACAGUGAUGUUCUACCCAAUUCACCAACUCACAGUUCGCUUCUGCUCUUGUAUGGGACGAAAAGGUCCCAAAAGUAUGUCGAGAGCUGUUUCUGAUGCAAUUCAAGGAUUUAGGGAACGGGGAAUGACGCUGUUUCAAUUUAUCGGGCGUUGUUCGCUGCUGUGUUUGCUGUGGCUUAUUACCUUGUGGCUGAUUUGUUUCUCUCUAAAAACGCUCAAAGCCACGCAAGUUUUGGCACUCUUCGCCACCACCACGUCCUUCCUUUAUAUUUUGUCUUGGACGGUGCUUCACAUAAAGUUUGUGGGAAUAAAGAUACUAGCUGUGAUUUUAAGCAAUAUGGGAAUCGCUCUAUUUGCUUACAUGGACGGACAAACUUAUAGGUCAACAACGAUCGUGGGUGUAAUUUUUGGUGCAGCAGCUGCUGCGACUUCCGCAGUUUUUAAGGUUAGCUUAAAGAAAUUCUUUGGAUUCGGUGCUACUAUAUCGCAGCAAGUAGCACUGAUUUUCUCAGUUGUUGGAAUUAUCGCAAUCGUGGUGUUGUGGCCUGUAUUUGUCACACUCUACUUUUCCGGACUGGAAGUGAUUAUUUGGUCCUACGUCCCAUGGGAGCUCAUACUGUGUGCUGUAUUAUCCUUUCUUGUUGUGGCAAUGUUGGAAAACUUCGGCGUUACCUGUACCUUCGAAUUCUUCAUCAGCAUUGGUCUUCUGAUGGCUAUUCCAUUCUCUGCGGUCUUGGAUCACCAUUUGUAUCAUCAUGACUUUGAAGGAAUGUGUCUCGCUGGGAUCUGGAUUAUCGGCGUCGGGUUUUGUGUGGUCUUACUACCAGAAGACUGGCCGGAGUAUAUUACUCGAAUUAUAAGGCGAAUUCGUGGACCGUCUGAAGAAGAAAAGCACCCAGAGCCCGUUUAUUCUGCAAUGCCACGCUUAUCUCGUGCUGGUAUCGAAAAUUACCUCGUCAAUUCCUCUCCUCACUCCAAUUCCGCAAUUUCCAUCUCAUCCCCCCAAUCCCACCAUCGUACAAGCCAACAUAUCAACAACAAUUACACAACCACCCCCCACCACCACCUCCCACAACAACAGCAACCCAACCAUUCCAACGCUCACAUUGUCAACCACCAAUACUUUUAGCUAGCCCAUACACAACCAUGACAAACAAUGACGAAUGUGUCUUAAACUACUUUACGGCCUUCUCAGAAUUACCGAAAGACAUUUCUCAGCUAUUAUUAGUACGAUUAUUAUGAUUACUACCGUGCACAAGUUUGACAUACAAUGUGAUAUUCUUCUGGCUCUAGCUCCUUAAGCCAACUCGGCCUUUUCAAUGAUUUUUUUAGGAACACAGGAGGAGUCAUUAGUAGUAGCCGGCGGACGUAUUGAUACAAAAUAUAUGUCGACAUGAGUCCCUCGUUAAUUUCGCCAUAGCCUAGUCGAAUCAAGCUUAAUGAGAAAAUCAAGCGGAUUAGUUGUCGCAGUAGUUGGGGGGCAGAUCAUAUUGCAUAUUAUUGUAUAAGCGAAUGAUAUAUAUGAACCACUCAUUAUAUGAACCCAAGUACCUUAUGACCGAAACUUGUGAGCUAUGUAUUCCUAUUUGCGAAUAUUGUUCACUCCAAUUUUGGACGAAGCUGGGCUCCCACCCAGCACUUUUAGCCUUUCUCUCGUGAUCCAAACUUCAACUUUACACGCUGUGAGCACAAAAUUGCCUCGAUUUCUCUCUCGAGUGCUGGUGGUGGAAUUGAUGAAGCUCAUCCAGGUCGAGUCGGGAGUCUCAGUUCAAAUAGGACCAUUUCCAUAACUGAGAAAUGCGACAGGUCAUUUGUAUCUGUCGCUGGUGCCUUCUGUCUGAAUCCCAUCAUACAUCUAUCUGUACUGAAUGGAUUAUCGAUCUUUCCCAGAGCAUCGAAGAGCAAGUCCUCCGUCAUAAAGUAAAAAAAAUAUAUUCAAGUUGAAUGCCUUCAAAGGCCAUACGAUAUUUAUGUCUAAUUGUAAAUCAUAAGUCAAUGGUUUGCACACACAUUACAGAAUUAAAUACGGUGUGCAGACGGGUGAACUGAAUAAUACUUUACCUUCAUACAUAUUAUGUACCUUAACUAUUUACCUUAUAUACGCAAUGGCUCAAUAAUAAUUUCACCACCAUAUCAUCAUCUUACUACUCUAUAAGGGCUCUCGGGAUAAGGAAUUAUCAAAAUAUACCAUAUUUUUGAAGUAAUGGAGAUAGAUUAGACGACAAACUUAUAUGACUCCUUGAUCAGGCCAUAUGUAGAAAUAUACAACUUAUUUGCACUGGACAGAAGUACAAGUGUCUUAUCAUUUGGACAACGUGACAUGGACGAUCCAACAAACAAACAUUAGUUUAGCGACUCACGCACUUAUUGGAACUGACAGAUCCAUACAUACAUAUUCGACUUUAGUGCUGUAGCUCAUGGAAAAAACACUAUUUCCUUUUUUCAAUCAUUCGUUCUGCUUAGUUCUGAAUCCCCCUGAAUCUGUCAACGACGAGAAUUUGCAAUUCCUAAGCUCAUAUCGUUCAGGAUCAGGCUGACCCAUUGUUUUCCUGUCUGACUGGGGCCAGAGAAAGAAAGUGAGGUACCUGCCGCCAGCCAUGGCAUAUUUCCAGUGACACAUUAUGAACCAAUUCUGAACCAGGAUGCUAUACAUACAAGUGGAUUCGUCAGUGGGUAUACUUCUCUCAGAUUUACGUCACAUUUGUGCCACGCUCGCGUUGUACUGUGUUUGUGGGAGGCGUGUUGUUGUAACUUGAAUGUCUUUUCAUAAGAAUAAAUGUAGAAAUCAAUAUAAUUGUUACCAUUAAAAAAAAGAGUUGCGAUGAUUCGAGCAAGUUUAUCUAUUUCAUGCAUGCAGUGGAAAGUCUCAAUAAACAAACUUUCUUUGGUUGUAUGAUACCUACGUACACACUGUUGAAACAUAUUUAAAUGUGCUUAAAUAUCAAAUUAUCAUACUUCCAGUUCCAAAAUUCAAAAGCAUUGUCUUAAAAUUCUUCUUAUAAAAAUGCUCAUACAAAAAUUGUUGAUUGACUGCACACUGAACUUUAUGUUUAAUGGGAAAUCAUUUUGUUGUUUGCCAUAUUUUUAAGCAUUAAAUGUUUUGACGCAAAAGCUUCGAGUCGAAAAUUCGAAAGCACGAAUGUCAUCAGUGCGGCUUUUAUGUUCUUUUAAAAAUGACCAUGUACUUACUUUGCAAGUUGUUAUUAAUGAUGAUAGGAACACUUGACAAUUUUGUUGGCAUGCUAGGUACUCGCAUAUUCAAGUAUCCCGUCAAAUGCAUAGUCUAGUGAGAAACCUCUCAACAAUUUAACUGGUUCCACAAGGGUCAGUAUUGCUUAUAAAUAAUUCAAAGCACAUUUCGUCCUGUGUUAUCGUGCAGUCGUACGAGGAGCAUAUACAAAUAUGUAUGUCCAUCCUUAUGUCUCGCAACAAACUUAGGGAAAUAUUGUUCAACAUCAUGAUGCGCACAACUACGUACUUUCCCCACUUGUACACAUGUAUGUACAUAUAAAUGCUUGUAUACAUUCCUGAUCGUGUCUGGUAAAAGUUCCAUGGCUGAGUUGGCUGCGACACUUGACUCAAUUCAGCCUAAUAUACCAAUAGUGUUAGUAUUGUUCUGCAGCUGAGAAUGCGUGAGAAAAGAGAAAGUAUACGAAAUUAAGAAUAUCUCAUAUAUUUGAACGACAUUUUUAUCAACAAUGAUCGUGCUGAAUUGCUUGAUGUUAUUUAAGAAAUAGGCCCUCCGAGCAGUGACUGUCAAAUCUCCUGUAUAUUAUUGUGCUACUCAAUAAAGUAACAAGCUAUGUAGUUACAUAAGUUGUUCGAGCAUGACUUUGGUGAUAAUUUGAAUUCGAGCUUGGUUUUUUAUUGGAAAUUUAAUUACUUUUUUCUCUUCCCCAAUAAUCUCGCAAUCCUUAUUGCUUCAAGUCGGAGUCGCAACAUUCGUGUUUUCUGCUUGGCAAAUUGUUUCAAAGUUUCCUGAAGCGAGUAAUGAAAUCACUCACUUAGCGCACACCAGCGCUUGAGCAUGGCGGUUUUGGAUCCCAUACUUACCAAACUCUGAAACUUGCUUACACUUGCUUCUCUAACUUUUGUGAUAAUGCCACCAAUUUAAAGUUUCACGACACACGAGCAGUCCAUCUCACCCAUGUCUCUAUCCAACGCAUGUUACUUACGACUCAAUAUGAGGAUGAUUAAUCCCUAUACCCACAGAUACGUAUAUAUUUAUCACGACAGCAUGAAAAAAGAUUAUGAAGUACCUAUGAAUUUCAAUUUUUAACACGAUUUAUAAUACCACGACCUCCAGUACCAGAACCAAAAUAUUUUAACGCCUGUAUCACUUUCCUACUUAUGCUAUACAAGUACAAUUAACGAAUCUUGCAAGUUACAAAAAUAACUGGCAUCAUAACAUGCUCCACUUGUAAUUUGCUUGUACCAUUAACUUUCCCCAGGUUUUUUGCGGACAAUACUCGAUGGGGGAAGAACCGAAGGGGACUGACCCAGUCCAAUGAGCCCGUUGAUACGAGGACAUCAAGAUUUAACGCCCGACACCUCUGAUAACCAAUGUUUCCGUUUUGUGUGAAUUUUCUCGUGAUCCUCAAGUGAUGAUAUCAUGAAGCAAGUGUAAUAAAAUGUGUUUUUUUUUUUUUUUACGGGUGUUUGUGACCCUUUAGCAUGUCCAAAAAUAUGUUUUGACUGUAUUGAGAAUAUAUAUACAGAAUUAUUGAUGUACUAAUGGUUUUCCACGUUUAGAAUAUAUGUAAACUGCAAAUAUAAAAGUAAGAACUCCAUUAUCAAGGUUUAAUAAACAUGAACUACCCUGUAA